rnacentral:siRNA from 1 species
UGCUAAACACAGGUUGAUGC